AACCUUCGGGAGCUUAUUUUUGGGCGCGGCUUUGCCCGCGGCUUAUUUUUGGCACCCCGAGGCCCCUCGCAAAGUCUCGCCCCAUUCCGAGUCCGGCGGCCGAACUUCGCCCGCGCCCCCCACCAAGGCUAUAGCCCACCCGUUUUUUGGCCAUUUUUCCGCUGGGGGGUUUUGGCACCACGAACUUCGGGUGGUUAUUUUUGGGCGCGGCUGUGCCCGCGACUUCCCGCGGGCACCCCGAGGCCCCUCGCAAAGUCUCGCCCCAUUCUGAGUCCGGCGGACGAACUUCGCCCGCGCCCCCCACCAAGGCUAUAGCCCACCCGUUUUUUGGCCAUUUUUCCGCUGGGGGGUUUUGGCACCACGACCUUCGGGCGCUUAUUUUUGGGCGCGGCUGUGCACGCGACUUCCCGCGGGCACCCCGAGGCCCCUCGCACAUUCUCGCCCCAUUCCGUGUCCGGCGGACGAACUUCGCCCGCGCCCCCCACCAAGGACAUAGCCCACCCGUUUUUUGGCCAUUUUUCCGCUGGGGGGUUUUGGCACCACGACCUUCGGGAGCUUAUUUUUGGGCGCGGCUUUGCCCGCGGCUUAUUUUUGGCACCCCGAGGCCCCUCGCAAAGUCUCGCCCCAUUCCGAGUCCGGCGGCCGAACUUCGCCCGCGCCCCCCACCAAGGCUAUAGCCCACCCGUUUUUUGGCCAUUUUUCCGCUGGGGGGUUUUGGCACCACGAACUUCGGGUGGUUAUUUUUGGGCGCGGCUGUGCCCGCGACUUCCCGCGGGCACCCCGAGGCCCCUCGCAAAGUCUCGCCGCAUUCCGAUUCCGGCGGACGAACUUCGCCGCGCCCCCCACCAAUGCUAUAGCCCACCCGUUUUUUGGCCAUUUUUCCGCUGGGGGUUUUGGCACCGCGACCUUCGGGCGCUUAUUUUUGGGGGCAGCUUUGCCCGCGGCUUACUUUUGGUACACCGAGGCCCCUCGCAAAGUCUCGCCCCAUUCCGAGUCCGGCGGACGAACUUCGCCCGCGCCCCCCACCAAGGCUAUAGCCCACCCAUUUUUUGGCCAUUUUUCCGCUGGGGGGUUUUGGCACCACGACCUUCGGGCGCUUAUUUUUGGGCGCGGCUUUGCCCGCGGCUUAUUUUUGGCACACCGAGGCCCCGCGCAAAGUCUCGCCCCAUUCCGAGUCCGGCAGACGAACUUCGCCCGCGCCCCCCACCAAGGCUAUAGCCCACCCGUUUUUUGGCCAUUUUUCCGCUGGGGGGUUUUGGCACCAUGACCUUCGGGCCCUUGUUUUUGGGCGCGGCUGUGCCCGUGACUUCCCGCGGGCACCCCGAGGCCCCUCGCAAAGUCUCGCCCCAUUCCGAGUCCGGCGGACGAACUUCGCCGGCGCCCCCCACCAAGGCUAUAGCCCACCCGUUUUUUGGCCAUUUUUCCGCUGGGGUGUUUUGGCACCACGACGUUCGGGCUCUUAUUUUUGGGCGCGGCUGUGCCCGCGACUUCCCGCGGGCACCCCGAGGCCCCUCGCAAAGUCUCGCCCCAUUCCGAGUCCGGCGGACGAACUUCGCCCGCGCCCCCCACCAAGGCUAUAGCCCACCCGUUUUUUGGCCAUUUUUCCGCUGGGGGGUUUUGGCACCACGACCUUCGGGAGCUUAUUCUUGGGCGCGGCUUUGCCCGCGGCUUAUUUUUGGCACCCCGAGGCCCCUCGCAAAGUCUCGCCCCAUUCCGAGUCCGGCGGACGAACUUCGCCCGCGCCCCCCAAUGCUAUAGCCCACCCGUUUUUUGGCCAUUUUUCCGCUCGGGGGUUUUGGCACCACGCCCUUCGGGCGCUUAUUUUUGGGCGCGGCUGUGCCCGCGACUUCCUGCGGGCACCCCGAGGCCCCUCGCAAAGUCUCGCCCCAUUCCGAGUCCGGCGGACGAACUUCGCCCGCGCCCCCCACCAGAGCUAUAGCCCACCCGUUUUUUGGCCAUUUUUCCGCUGGGGGGUUUUGGCACCACGACCUUCGAGCGCUUAUUUUUGGGCGCGGCUUUCCCCGCGGCUUAUUUUUGGCACCCCGAGGCCCCUCGCAAAGUCUCGCCCCAUUCCGAGUCCGGUGGACGAACUUCGCCCGCGCCACCCACCAAGGCUAUAGCCCACCCAUUUUUUGGCCAUUUUUCCGCUGGGGGGUUUUGGCACCACGACCUUCGGGAGCUUAUUUUUGGGCGCGGCUUUGCCCGCGGCUUAUUUUUGGCACCCCGAGGCCCCUCGCAAAGUCUCGCCCCAUUCCGAGUCUGGCGGACGAACUUCGCCCGCGGCCCCCACCAAGGCUAUAGCCUACCUGUUUUUUGGCCAUUUUUCCGCUGGGGGGUUUUGGCACCACGACCUUCGGGUACUUAUUUUUGGGCGCGGCUGUGCCCGCGACUUCCCGCGGGCACCCUGAGGCCCCUCGCAAAGUCUCGCCCCAUUCCGAGUCCGGCGGACGAACUUCGCCCGCGCCCCCCACCAAGGCUAUAGCCCACCCAUUUUUUGGCCAUUUUUCCGCUGGGGGGUUUUGGCACCACGACCUUCGGGCGCUUAUUUUUGGGCACGGCUGUGCACGCGACUUCCCGCGGGCACCCCGAGGCCCCUCGCAAAUUCUCGCCCCAUUCCGAGUCCGGCGGACGAACUUCGCCCGCGCCCUCCACCAAGGACAUAGCCCACCCGUUUUUUGGCCAUUUUUCCGCUGGGGGAUUUUGGCACCACGACCUUCGGGAGCUUAUUUUUGGGCGCGGCUUUGCCCGUGGCUUAUUUUUGGCACCCCGAGGCCCCUCGCAAUGUCUCGCCCCAUUCCGAGUCCGGCGGACGAACUUCGCCCGCGCCCCCCACCAAGGCUAUAGCCCACCCGUUUUUUGGCCAUUUUUCCGUUGGGGGGUUUUGGCACCACGAACAUCGGGUGCUUAUUUUUGGGCGCGGCUGUGCUCGCGACUUCCCGCGGGCACCCCGAGGCCCCUCGCAAAGUCUCGCCCCAUUCCGAUUCCGGCGAACGAACUUCGCCGCGCCCCCUACCAAGGCUAUAGCCCACCCAUUUUUUGGCCAUUUUUCCGCUGGGGGGUUUUGGCACCACGACCUUCGGGCGCUUAUUUUUGGGCGCGGCUUUGCCCGCGGCUUAUUUUUGGCACCCCGAGGCCCCUCGCAAUGUCUCGCCCCAUUCCGAGUCCGGCGGACGAACUUCGCCCGCGCCCCCCACCAAGGGUAUAGCCCACCCGUUUUUUGGCCCUUUUUCCGUUGGGGGGUUUGGCACCACGAACAUCGGGUGCUUAUUUUUGGGCGCGGCUGUGCCCGCGACUUCCCGCGGGCACCCCGAGGCCCCUCGCAAAGUCUCGCCCCAUUCUGAUUCCGGCGAACGAAAUUCGCCGCGCCCCCUACCAAGGCUAUAGCCCACCCGUUUUUUGGCCAUUUUUCCGCUGGGGGGUUUUGGCACCAGGACCUUCGGGUGCUUAUUUUUGGGCGCGGCUGUGCCCGUGACUUCCCGCGGGCACCCCGAGGCCCCUCGCAAAGUCUCGCCCCAUUCCGAGUCCGGCGGACGAACUUCGCCCGCGCCCCCCACCAAGGCUAUAGCCCACCCGUUUUUUGGCCAUUUUUCCGCUGGGGUGUUUUGCCACCACGACCUUCGGGCUCUUAUUUUUGGGCGCGGCUGUGCCCGCGACUUCCCGCGGGCACCCCGAGGCCCCUCGCAAAGUCUCGCCCCAUUCCGAGUCCGGCGGACGAACUUCGCCCGCGCCCCCCACCAAGGCUAUAGCCCACCCGUUUUUUGGCCAUUUUUCCUCUGGGGGGUUUUGGCACCACGACCUUCGGGCGCUUAUUUUUGGGCGCGGCUUUGCCCGCGGCUUAUUUUUGGCACCCCGAGGCCCCUCGCAAAGUCUCGCCCCAUUCCGAGUCCGGCGGACGAACUUCGCCCGCGCCUACCACCAAGGCUAUAGCCCACCCGUUUUUUGGCCAUUUUUCCGCUGGGGGGUUUUGGCUCCACGACCUUCGGGCGCUUAUUUUUGGGCGCGGCUUUGCCCGCGGCUUAUUUUUGGCACUCCGAGGCCCCUCGCAAAGUCUCGCCCCAUUCCGAGUCCGGCGGAUGAACUUCGCCCGCGCCCCCCACCAAGGCUAUAGCCCACCCGUUUUUUGGCCAUUUUUCCGCUGGGGUGUUUUGGCACCACGACCU
rnacentral:lncRNA from 1 species